GCCCUGGCCCGUGUGGCUCAGCGGUUAGAGCGUCAACCUAUGAACCAGAAGGUCCCGGGUUCGAUUCCCGGUCAGGGCA